AUUGAACGCUGGCGGCAGGCCUAACACAUGCAAGUCGAGCGGAUGAAGGGAGCUUGCUCCUGGAUUCAGCGGCGGACGGGUGAGUAAUGCCUAGGAAUCUGCCUGGUCGUGGGGGAUAACGUCCGGAAACGGGCGCUAAUACCGCAUACGUCCUGAGGGAGAAAGUGGGGGAUCUUCGGACCUCACGCUAUCAGAUGAGCCUAGGUCGGAUUAGCUAGUUGGUGGGGUAAAGGCCUACCAAGGCGACGAUCCGUAACUGGUCUGUGAGGAUGAUCAGUCACACUGGGACUGAGACACGGUCCAGACUCCUACGGGAGGCAGCAGUGGGGAAUAUUGGACAAUGGGCGAAAGCCUGAUCCAGCCAUGCCGCGUGUGUGAAGAAGGUCUUCGGAUUGUAAAGCACUUUAAGUUGGGAGGAAGGGCAGUAAGUUAAUACCUUGCUGUUUUGACGUUACCAACAGAAUAAGCACCGGCUAACUUCGUG
rnacentral:rRNA from 1 species